CCUGACACCCCUAGAUCCUCAUGAUUCCAGCCCAGCCUCAAACAUUCAGGCGCUCUCAAGUUCUAGUCCGACCUUGACACCCCAAGAAUCUCAGGAUCCCAGCAGCUGACAUCCCUGGAUUCUCUACCCGGACCCUGAGACCUAGAUUCUCAGAAUCCCAGCUCUUGGCACCCCAAGAUUACCAGGAGGAUUCCAGCCCAGCCGUAAACAUCUCAAGAUUCUCAGUAUCGCCAUCUGGCUUCUGACACCGCCAGGUUCUCAGGAUCCCAGUCCAGCCCCAACAUCUCGCUAUUCUAAACACCGGCUCUGAAUACCUAAGCCCAGCCACAAACAUUCCAGGACCCCAAGGCCUGCCCUACUACACACAUGGAUGCGAACCCGCGCAAUUUACCUUGAAGGCCGAAAGACCCUUGGAAAGGAUACUGUUUGGGGGAAAGUAAGACAGAACGCAGAGAGACCCUUCUGUCACCCCAGCGAAGUCAGCGUGAGAACUAGAACAAGAAGCACGGUGCAGCUUUGGCCGAACCAGGAUUCUUGAGAUGCGGGGAAAGCAAAGAGCUGCAGCAAGAUCUCUACCUGUGAUCCUUGCAAACCAAGCUGGGUGCCCCUGCCGCUGGUUCCACCACAAACGCUCACGGUCCUACUGAGGCUAGACCCCACCUGGGAACAAGGAGCAGCCAGAACCUAUCCUUCAGCCUCCCCAUCUGUCUACCGCUUCUCAUGGUCCUCCUGGAGUGUCAGCAAGGCCCUGUCUCUUGUAGAUGUUUCUUUUUCAGCCCUCUCGGCCAGCAAAGACCAGAUGGACAGAAGGGCAGCUUGGCUCUGCCACUCACUGGACCCCAGGCUGUAGUGCUGGUUUGGAGUCAACUGGAGCAGGAGGCCGCUCACACCAGACUCUGCAGUGUCACCGACUGGUCCAUCCGUGACUUGCUCUACUGAAGUCCUCUCUGACCUAAUGGUAAAGUUGUCCUGAGAGCAUCUGAAGACGAAGUACUCCUGCAGCAGUGAUCUGGGCCAGGCAGUCAUGACGCUAAGGGCCCCAGAGGGCUGAGAGCUACAGACACUCAGCCGUGUCUCUGUCCAUGGGGAACAUCCUGCCCAGAGAACAGGGGGUGAUAUCAGGCCUGAGGAACCCCAUAUCUGCCAUCAACGCUUCAUUAGCCACACCACCACCAUCUUCUCUGUGGGGCAUGGAGCAGAUGCGACCCUACAUGUCAUGGGGCCCCCACAUUCUCAUUCAUUUCUUCAUUCUUCAACAAAUGUUUGCUGAGGGGUGGCUGCUUUGCUGGCGGGAUUCACACUAGAGUGGACAGCAAAUAUCACGAGGUGACUGUGUCUGUGGUGGGGUUGUGACAAGCACUGGUGCACUGAGACUGCACAGGAAGAUGGGUAAGGAAGCCUUUGUGGGGGGGGGGGCUGACACACACACUGGUCAGCACCUAAUAUAGAUCCGUGCAAGAGAGCAGGAGGAAAUGUCUUGGGGCUGUGAAGGUCUUGGUGAGGUUGAAGGACUGAGAGGAAGCUGGGUAUCAAGAGGGCGAAGGGCAGAGGGCAUCUUAGCAGACUGAGCUGUAUGACAUAGGGCUUUCCAGGCUUGAGCGGCACUGCAAACUUCAGCCACAGUGUGAAGUUAUUGGAGGUUUUUAAACAGGAGGACUUAGCCUGAUUUGCAUAUUAAGAAAGAUUGCCCAGCUGCUGGGUGAAGCCGCCUUUUAAAAGCACAAAAAUAGAAGUAGGAAGAGCGGCUCGGAGGGUAUCACAGCAAUCCAGGCAGGGAAUAAUCACUGUUAUUAUCCCCAUUUCUCAGAGGAGCUCGCAGCAGGUAGUAACGCGGCGCUUCCAUUUCCAUGGCGAAUCUGCGUGGAAGCCUUUCUCCUGUCACUUCACAGGAACUUCAGAGCAACCCUGGAAUCUAUCAGCUAAAAACUGGUUCCUGGCCUAAAACGAGUCUCCAAGACAUUGGUCCUAGGUAAGGUCAGACUUUAUUGGGAGCCCAGAGUCUGUCCUAACCCUAGGCUUCUUGACCUUUCUGGGUUCUGUCCAAUUCCUGAAUCCCCAGGCAGAGUUCCUCAGGUCAGAAGGAGUAAGUGGAGUGGCCAAACUAGGUAGUCAGGUCCAGAGUCCUGCUGACCAGAGCCUAAGGGGCCUGGGAGGAGCCAGGGCGCUAGGCUCUACUAGAGCUACGCUAUAUGGUGAACACAGAACAUGAGACAUGCUUUGGCUCCCAAGUGCCUAAAAUCUAGUCCGAAACAAACGGAAGACUUCAAUAAAUAAUUGAAGAAUGUGCUGCAGAUGAAAAGGCACAUAUAUAAGCAAAUAACUUUAGAGGAAGCUGGGUCUUUUCCUUGGGACAAAUGGAUCUGAAUACUAUUUCAAGGACUGUCAGUUGGACCGUGACGGUCUUCUGGGGCAGUUACUGGCCUGCUUAACAAAGUCACCCACAUUGUUUGAUCUACACUGUACUGAAGCAGUCCUUACCCAGUGCCCCCAUUACUGCCCAGCACCCCCCCAUUCUUCGUGUCUAAUACAAUCACGGCUCUGUUGACCUCAUGAAUUCUGUGUCUCAGGAAUUUGGAAAGUCAGAGUGGGGAUGACUGGGCUCUGACUCAGCAUGCCUAAGCCUCAGUUCUGAAGUCCACUGGCUGGGUGCCAGAACCUGGGACCCCUCGACAGUUCUGUGGCAGGCGAUCUGGCUGGGGAGAUGCCAAAGCUGAGCUGAACCAGCUGCUGUUCAGUGUGUUUCUAUGGGGUCUCUCCACGGACUGGAGGAUCCUCACUGCAGCUGGGCUCCAGGAAGUCCCGCUUCAGCCACAUAAAUCAGAGCUCCCAUUGUGAGGGCUAUAGGGAAGGCAGAAGACACUUGGCUUUUAUGUCCCACCUGAAGGUACCGCCACUCUAGUCACCAAGGCAUGGCAUGGCACGAGGUGUACUAGUGUGUGUACCCACACUAGGUGGGUUCCAGGGCCCUGCCACACACUGAAGGGAACAUCAAUAUUCAGCAAGUGAAGACCACUCUAUUGUGAAGAUUUAAUGAAUCAAAUCAGGAACCAAGACUUGUGCUGGAUAGUUUAUAGCUAUAAACCAAGGGCAACAGAGACAUCUUUGAAUGAAUAAGAGCACAGAAUUGUGCUUUGGGAUAAUCAAUAAAAUGCUGAGAUUUUAGCCCAUGGACCAGAACACAGAAGUACUUGUUAUUACCUUGGGGAGGGGUGUGGAGAAGAGGACCUAGCUCCUGAGUGUACAACAUGAGCAGGGCUGUUGUGAAGACAAAGGGAGGGCAUCAAGUGAGGUGCCUGGCCAAAGAGCAUCGGCGAGGAUGCUGUCCGGAAGGUUCGUUCUCAUCAGGU